UACGUAGGGGGCAAGCGUUGUCCGGAUUUAUUGGGCGUAAAGAGCGUGUAGGCGGCCAGGUAGGUCAGCUGUGAAAACUCGAGGCUCAACCUCGAGACGCCGGUUGAAACCAUCUGGCUAGAGUCCGGAAGAGGAGAGUGGAAUUCCUGGUGUAGCGGUGGAAUGCGCAGAUAUCAGGAGGAACACCAAUAGCGAAGGCAGCUCGCUGGGACGUUACUGACACUGAGGCGCGAAAGCGUGGGGAGCGAACAGG
rnacentral:rRNA from 1 species